rnacentral:rRNA from 1 species
AACGAACGCUGGCGGCAGGCUAACACAUGCAAGUCGAACGGGCGUAGCAAUACGUCAGUGGCAGACGGGUGAGUAACACGUGGGAACCUUCCUAGGGGUACGGAACAACUCAGGGAAACUUGAGCUAAUACCGUAUACGUCCGAGAGGAGAAAGAUUUAUCGCCCUUAGACGGGCCCGCGUCGGAUUAGGUAGUUGGUGGGGUAACGGCCUACCAAGCCGACGAUCCGUAGCUGAUCUGAGAGGAUGAUCAGCCACACUGGGACUGAGACCCGGCCCAGACUCCUACGGGAGGCAGCAGUGGGGAAUCUUGGACAAUGGGCGCAAGCCUGAUCCAGCCAUGCCGCGUGAGUGAAGAAGGCCUUAGGGUUGUAAAGCUCUUUUGGCAGGGACGAUAAUGACGGUACCUGCAGAAUAAGCCCCGGCAAACUUCGUGCCAGCCGCCGCCGUAAAAC